ensembl:lncRNA
AGAAAUCUAAAUUCAGAUACUUUAAUUUCUUGAUCUUGUAUAUGGGGUAGAUUUCUGUCUGUCUUCCCAUGUUGCUCUGUAAUUUGAGAUCAGAUCAUCUCUAUAUCUAAUAUAAAUAUAUUCUUAGAAAUAAUAGUUGUUCAGCAGGUCUCCAAUGGGACUGGACAAUCAUGGGACCAAAUAGCUAGCAGAAUAUCAGGUUAGGAAACACAUGAGCUAUAAGCCCAUGAAGUACCAUGAUAUUUUAAAAACUGAAUGCAGUGACUUGAGAGAUCAAAAUGAUUUUAGAUAGAAUGUGCCUUAAAUCCAGCAUUCCUCAGUGACGGCCCUUGGUGUAAGUGAGGGCAGGAUUUUUCUGGCUAAAUAUUUUGAUGUACAUCCUUCCACGAACUUUUAGACUUGUAGAUCUUAAAGUCAUGGAUGAGGUUGUUCAUAAUUCAGCACAGGACCUUUGGCCCAUGCAUAGCAUCCAGUACUACUGACAUGAAGGCCUGGCUCUCUGGUGCAAGUAGAGGCCAGCACAAAUCUGAGAAAGCCUCACCACUCUGCCGAGUGGGAUUCUAGCACUAGAAUAGGUGGUCCAGCACAUCUGCACCUCCCUUUUUUGCACCUCUUUGGCAAUUAUUUUAAUAACAUUCUUACAGUGCACUAGAAAGGAAUGGAGGACAUGAAAAUCACUGAGAUUUAUGGCCAAGUCUUCUCCAGCUGCCUUUGGGACUGCCAUCUUUAGUCUGUGUGCAUGACUCUGCUUUCCUUUGCAUUUGAGCUGGGGAACCUUGGAGCCUUAGAUAAAACAAUUGAGAGGGAAGAAAUUUGCAGCCAUCCCAGAGAGACACACUGAUGUGGCUGUAUAUCUAAAAGAUCAGCCACACCUCACCAAGGUUUUCCUUUGGAAAUACAAGGAAAUCUGUGACUGUAACUUAUCCUGGCCCAAAGAGGGACUUGUACCUGCCUUGAUGCUCAGAGAGCUGUUGGUCAUAUGCUACCUGGUAAAUUCCAAACGAACCCACAAGUCAUAGCCUGGCCUUGCUUCCCAACUUCAGCUUUCCAUGAUGAUUUUCUGCCUGAAUACAUAUAAAUGGAGGCAAAUGGGAAUUCAGAUUCUGUGACAACUCAUUAUAGUUUUUUCUGCUUCAGUAACCUUAUUGAUUACAGAAAAGACCGAUUGAACGUAUGGUUCAUAUUUUUUUCCCAAACACUUUCAAUAAAUCCUCUUUAUGUUCCACAAAAAUAAAUAAAUAAGGAAAGUGUGUCUUCCUGACAGCUGGCUGCAGAGUAAACUUAGAGCACCUGCUUUCUUCUCUUUUGUUCAUUUUUUACUGCUAAGUGAAUAACACUUAACACUAAAUAAAGAAGGAGGGUGACCAUGGCUACUGAAAAAGAUUCAAAGGCAGUCAGUGCGUUGCUUGUAAAGAACUGAUUACAAACACAUAGUGUAUGGCAGAUAACAAUAUUCCUCCACAAUAAUCUAGCGGUAAUUCACAUUGUGGUUUAAGUGCCAGAUUCUCAUGAAAGCCGCUGAAUAAUCUAAGGCAACUCCACUCUGUCAGGUGCCACACAUUUCUUUGGCAAAUUUAACUGAUAACGUGUUUAAGUGUGCUGGUAGGACAGGCGGUGACCUUGAGAGCUGGCAGAAGGGGACUCGAGCAACUUUACCUUAUUCUGGCCUCAUCUGCAGGAGGAUUUGGGGGGAAAAAAAAGCAACAACCACCAACCUUCUUGAGGUCUUGGUUAUUUUAUUUGUAAAUAACCAUCUGCUUCUUUCUGAUCAAGAGCCAGCAUAGUAAGGUAUGACCCCGGGGAGAGCUGUGAUUGAUACUCCGCCACCUCUGCUAGCGGGGGUGCCGCACAAAAGGUAGCGUGAGGCUCACCAAUGGCCCGCGAUGAAAAAGAAUACACUUUCUUUCAAAAUGUAAAUGAUCCGAUGUUGUGAAGGGAUGCAGGUGGCGUAGGGGAAAAGACCAGCCAUCAAACACCUCCUGUCUGUUUGUCCUGUGCACCUCUCCCGCUCGGCUGCUGCUCCCCAGGCCAGGCACGGCUCUGCAUCACCCCGCUGCUGCCCGGCUGUGGGGCCUCGGUGACCUUGGGCAAGUCCCCUAAGCGCUUUGUGCGUCAGUUUAUCUACUGGUGAACUAGGUCUAAUACCUUUACCGAGGAUUAUGGCAAUUAAUUGCUGUUUGUAAAGCACGCUGAGAUCUGCGAUGUUACAGAAAUGAAUAUUCUGGCUCAGAAUUUGCCGUGCCAAGUGAUCGCAGGGUACCAGGGAGAGCAGCUAUUCUGAUCCUGUGCUGCCUUCCUUGUUUCCAAGGACUUUGGGGAGCUGUCCCAGGAAGCAGGAACACUUAAGAGAUCAAGAGCUUUUCUACAGAACAAAAUGGUUUAGGUUGCUGUCGUUCUGUCACUUGUAGCAGUCUGUGAAUGCCAAGUUAAAAAAAAAUCAGCUGCUGAGAAGUGUAUCUGGCUAUUCAAGAUUGAAAAAAUCAGCUGCUAAGAAUUGUUUGCGGCUAUUUAGGGUUUGCAUCCUUUGCUGCAACUCAGUGUUCGCACCGGUGGAGGGCUGGUUGUUACCAGGGAGUAGUGGGGAAACUGCUGAAUGAAUGUAAAGGAGAAAAGGGGGCAAUGUGGGCUGCAAAGCCCUCUGGUGUCUGGUGGAUUUUUUCACUGAGGUAUUUCAGCCUAAUGUGCUUUUAGUGGAAAGGUUCCAAAAUGUAUAACCAGGAAAAAAAGGUGAGGAGGGAGGGGGGGGGCUGCAAAAUUCCCAAGCAAAAUAACUAGAGGUAAAUUCAGUGUUUUUCCACUCCGGCAACCACAACCUUUGCUUUUAUUCUGGUGCAAACAGCUGCAGGUGCCUCAAGUCAGCCAGUUCUAUCUAUCUGCAAUGUCAUCCAUGUUUACUUGCAGCACUGGACUUUCGAUUCUGUCAGGAUGCCAAUCCAACGGGCCGCCAGGCACUGCAGCUGACAGUCAAAUCUGUAAUGCUGAAUCCUUCUUCUGGAAAAAAGGGCUAAAGAGGUUAAUACACUCAAGUAAGGAUAAACACACCAGCUGUUAUAGUUUCUAAUAUUUAAUGACAUUAUCAAAUAAAAUAACUCCUAAGAAAUAAAAAAUAUCCAGCCUCCAAAUCACUCAUCUUUGUUAGUAUUAAUAAAUUAUCCGAAAAGCCCACACUAUAAAAUAAUAAGAGAGACUACUAUUAAAGAAGUCAUAUUUACUCUUUUACUCUGCCGAUGUUGUUCUUCACCGAUACCUCUACAUUUUGGUGUUCCAUCAAUACUGGUGUCACAUCUAUAACAUAAUCAUGGAUGGAUUAUUGGAAUGCAGACAAAUACAAUUUAAUUUCUUUCUUUAUUUUUUUUUUCUGUAAGGGUUCUUGUUGAAAUAUAUCUUCUAUCUGAUUUUAUGAAUGUAAUGAUUCAAAGAUUUCAUAACUCUUAGUCUUUUUCUUUUACAAAAAUCUGCAUAGGAUCUGAAGAAUAAUGAGUCCUGCAACAGCAGGAGUGCUUUUGUGUGUGUUUCUGUAUGUGAAAUCUCAAAGGAAGCCUUCCAGAACUCAUUACUGGGGCUAAACACUUUUUAUAGAGUCAGGAAGUGACUAUAUGUUUUCCUCCUGUCGUUGUAGCUACAGUCUCUACUGCUGGUAGACAGGGUGGAUUAAGUAGGGGAUGACUUGAACACCCUCAGGAAGGGUGAGAAAUACAUACAAACACACAAUGGAAGAGGCUUUGCAGCCUGCAAAACAGCCUGAAAUGGGCUCAGCUGCCAGUUUAUGAUCUAUGUUAUAGCAAGGCACAUUCACUGUGUUGUACUUAAAGGUCUAUGACCAACACCAUAAAAUCCUUGAAUUCUAGGAUUUAUCUGGCAGACACUCCAAAUGGCAUCAGACUAAAGCUUAUCUAUCCUGUUAUGCUUCCUUUUUGGUUAUUGCUCAGUGAUGGGCAAAGGCACAGAGAUGCCGGGACUCUUUAUAGAACGUUGAUGGUAAAGGCAGCACAAGGGCUUGGCAGGGCAGUGUGGCCAGUGGUGCUCUUCUGCUGGCCUUCUCCACACAGGUGCAUUGAUUUCCCGUGCUGUACUUUUAACAAUGUAUGGACUGUGGAAAAAAAUAAUAUAUACAUGUAUAUGUAUAUUUCUAGUAUAGUAGGCAUAAGGUAGAGCUGGCUGAAUCACAGAAAUUCCUUCCUGUGAAAAAAUACUCAUUUUCAAAAUCCCUCCCUCCUUCCCCUAUAAAUUGAGGAAAAACAAAAUAUUAUUUUUUCUUUUUUUACUCUUUUUUUUUUUUCCUUUUUCCUCUGAGAAGAACUCUCCGUAAAAUAAAACAAAACCCCUAGCCUCUUUUAAGGGAAGCAAACUGGAAUUUCUUGGGGCUUGCCAGCUGCCUGCCGAAAGGGGUGAGCGGCAGGAGCCCGGUUGGCAGGCUGCUGCAGGCAGGACACCCCACGCCUGCCGCUCCCUCCUCCUCCUCCUUGCCUUCCCCCUAGCCUGGCUGCUGGGGAGGCAGCUGGGCUGCAGGGCCGGCAGAGCGCCAGGGCACUCAACCUCCCCUCCUCCCUCUUCCAGACCUGCUGCAUCUCCCCAGCUGCCUGCCUGGAAGACUAUUGUCAAUUUUGCUCUCUCCCUGCAGACGACAACAAAAUCGACAGGGGCCUUCCAGCCAAGCAGCCGUGGAGCCAUCCGUUUGAUUUUCCUAAUAGAAAAAUCAAAAAUUUCUGGCAAAAUUGAAAUUUUCCCAUAAAAGAAAUCCCAAUUUUAUAAAAGGCAGAUAUUCCACCGGAAAGUCAUUCCAACAGAGCAUUCCCAGCUGCUUUAGUUUGACAGACCUUUGAAUUAAAGUCUAUAGAAAAAAAAUGCUUGUGUGUUUGGCUGUGAAAUGAGAAUGGGUGAGUGGAGUCAGAUGCAAAUAGAGGUGGCCUCAGAGCCAGCGCACGAGUUCCCACCAUCCAACGAUCGGGCCCAGAGUAUCUGCAUGACCCUAAAGGAGCUAUAGGAGAUCACAUCUUUGCUACAAAGUGUUGAGAUGAUAAUUAAAGCGAGGUUAUGUCUCCUUCAAAACAUUUGCACAGGUUUGAAGCCUCGUGAGAAUAAUUCCCAGCACACAGUUGCCACCAAAUUGGUUCAGAAAAGCGUUCAAGCCUUUGUGUCUUCAUCAAAAUAGAAACCUUUUCAGCAGAGGCACAUCAGACACAGCCAGACAGUGGAAAAAAAAAAUGGAAUUUCACCCAGAGUAGUGCUACAAAGUCACCUUUGUCUCUGUUUUAUCUGCAUGCAUCUAGAUGGUGGGUGAUGCUAUGCUCCUGCAUGUGGAUGAAUUGUGGGAGCGAAGAGCCCUGGUUCCAGCAGCACUAGGAAGCCUUAUGGGGCAGCCAUCACCAUCACUAAAUAAGCUGAUCUGGUGAUUAAUGUAGAAAAGAAUGUCUGAGCCCCAAAGCAACCCAUGAGGAUGUGGUGCCGUGAAGACCCCCUGAUUGAGUCACUGGUUGUAGGAUUGGCCCUAUGGAGCCAUGCACUGAAGUUCCUUGUCACCAACUGUGCCCCACUCUUGACAUGGAGGCAUCGCAGAGUGAGUUGGAAUGGAGUAUAGCAGCUUUCUGUCCAAAUGUGAUAGCCUUCAUGGGGAUAAAACAGAUCCUUUAUUGCGUGUAAAUAUUUGCAAUGAAUGCUUGAUAGUUGUGUUUUCAAAUGUUCAUUACAACUUCUCCCCUCAAUAUUUUAUUCAUAUAGAUCAGUCUUUGGCCGGCAUCUUUCAUAAAGUGCUGAAAUUUGCCCUUGAGGCAUCAGAUGGAGUAGUCAGAUUGUCAAAUAAGUCUCCUAAUUGAAGCGAACGCUGGCACAAUAUUUGUCUUUUGAAAACAAACAUCGCCAGCAAAGUUGCAGGUCCACCACGGAGCCGCGCGGAGCCGGGUGUGCGCAAUGGGAGGAAGGCUGUGCGAGCAGAUUGUUGCAGGGAAACACCAAACCUGUGAAAAUCCACUGAACCAAAGCAAAAACAAACAGGUCUUGAGCUGCCUGGAGAACAUGCUGUGGCACCCAACAUGGCCACACAGGAGGUCUCUGCCUGCCUCUGCUGUCCCUGAUGCCGAAGGAGGACAGGCUGUGCCGGACAAUGACCAGGACCUAAGCUGCGUCCUUCCUAUUUGAUUGACACUUGAAACGUUGAGUUGGAAUCAGCCAGAGGCACUGCUACAAGCUUGAAGCCUCUGCUGGGGAUAACAACUGGUGACAUCUGCAGAAAGGCCGACAAAAGGCAGUUGAAAGCCGUGUUUGUUGCUUUCCCCUCUCAGAUCUCCUCUCUUUCAUGGAGCUCCUUACUUGCUUUAAUAUUAUGAUUCAGCACCUGGCUCUUUUGAACCUUGCUUUAAACUUCAAAAGGCGAGGUGGUAUUAACAAACAUGAAACGAAAAAGUGGCAGUAGUUUGAUUUACUGUUGUCGUCUUAUCAAGGGGGUUUUUUGUCACCAGCUGCCACUUUCUGUCAUCUUUGGAACCAUUAUCAUUUCUCUAAAAUCUAAAAGACUCCACUUAAUAACAGCUUUGAAUACAGGCAGGAUCAGUAACGUAUACAGUUCUGGGAUGACAGGGCCGUCAAAUGAAAAGAAAGAUGUUGCCAAAAAAAAAAAAAAAAAUCCUUAAAAAAAAAAAAGCAAUAAAACAAAUAAAAGCCAUAGUACUUCUAAGUGACCUUGAUUUCAGAAUUAAACAAAUCAAGCACAAUUCCAUUGUUCUUUCUGGAUUAAUUCUGCACUUUCUUUGCAGUGUUUCUUUUUUGUUCUCAGGACUAAGGGAAAACAAAGCCAAGGCUUUCAGAAAACUGCUCGGCACACAACAAGCACUUGGUAUCACAUGAGUGCUGUAAGCUUCUCACUGUAAAACUGCCAGCGAUAAUUACUGGUCUCGUUUCCCCACCAUCCCAGCACAGCAACUCACAUUCAGGCUGAGCUGCCUUGCUAGUCAAAAAAAUGCUCAACUCCCCUCUUAUAGUGCUGCUCCAUGCUUUCCUGCAGACCUUCCCAACAUGGUUGUGUUGGUCUUUGGCUGCCAAGGCAGAACCAAGUGCCUGGUCAAGUUUGCCCAUUGCAGCUGCUCACAUUAAGCCACAGGCAGUCAAAUAAACACAAUUUUCUAAAGUGCAAACCUACUGCACUUUCACACUUGUCGCCUUGCCAUUCUUUACGGGAAACUCACUCUGAUCCCUUUGUUUUAUAAUGGUAUGCAUAAUUAACUCAUCUGAAGGUAGAAAUUUCUCCCACUGCCUUCUAAACUCAUGGAUAAAUGAUGGACAAGCCAUCACAAGCAGUGACUUUUAAUUUGCACAAAUUGGAACCUGCACUUCUGUGCAUCUUAAUAGUUACUUCCACUUGUGCAAAAAUAGUGAAACCAACUGCAAAAACCAAAGGAUCCCCUCCACUCUCCCCAUUGAUGUGUCCUCCCUCCCCUCAGUUAUGUGUAAAUCCAGGCAAUGGGAUCCAACACAUGGUCUCCCAUUGGCCUCUUCCAGACCUGUUCAACCACAGGAAUCUGGGGGAGAUUUAUGCCAGAACAUCUUCCUAAAACAGUGAUGGAAACAACAAAAUGAAAAUAUUCAUAGAAGUGAAAGUGCUGAUGUCUUGACCAGUGAAAACACAGGAUUGCAAGACUCCAAAGUUGGUUGAUUUUUUAUGGACUGGGAUGCGACAAAACUCAUGAAAUUGAGAUGGAGAUUGCUAAAAAUACCUAUUAUCCUCUGACAGAAGCACUCACUGUAUAACGAUAACGAGGGUUUUUCACAGAGCAUGUACAGAUUUGAAAGUUUAGUCAUUUUAACAAGUGUUAAUUACUGCAUGCUAACCAGCAGAAGUGUGUGGGGGAGAUGUUUUAUAUUUAUUUGUUCCAGACUUGGAACAUAUUAGAAAGUAGGCUCCCUUCCAGGUUACUGUGGUAUGAAUGAAUACGUUACCCAACUACAAAUAAAAAAUACUGCAAGAAGAAAUAAGGACUUUUCCCCAGCAUAUUUCUUUGAAGAGAAGACCGAGAAUAUGUUUAGUCUAUUACAUCAAGUGGAAAUCUUAGCCUG